AACGAACGCUGGCGGCAUGCCUAACACAUGCCAGUCGAACGAGACCUUCGGGUCUAGUGGCGCACGGGUGCGUAACGCGUGGGAACCUGCCCUUAGGUUCGGAAUAACUCCCCGAAAGGGGUGCUAAUACCGGAUAAUGUCUUCGGACCAAAGAUUUAUCGCCUUUGGAUGGGCCCGCGUUGGAUUAGCUAGUUGGUAGGGUAAAAGCCUACCAAGGCGACGAUCCAUAGCUGGUCUGAGAGGAUGAUCAGCCACACUGGGACUGAGACACGGCCCAGACUCCUACGGGAGGCAGCAGUGGGGAAUAUUGGGCAAUGGGCGAAAGCCUGAUCCAGCAAUGCCGCGUGAGUGAUGAAGGCCUUAGGGUUGUAAAGCUCUUUUACCCGGGAUGAUAAUGACAGUACCGGGAGAAUAAGCUCCGGCUAACCCCGUG
rnacentral:rRNA from 1 species